ACCCCUGCUGCCUCUUUUUCAUUUUGCCUUCCUAUUUUCUCCUUCUUGCUCCAAAAAAUAAAUCAUUAAAAAAAAAUUCCUCAUAAAGUUAGGGAUUUCUAAAGGUGUAAUUCUUAGCCCUCUGCUCUUCAAUCUUGUUUUCCUUUUUGUUAUUCUUCCUUUCUCUCCUUCAUUCCUUCUUCAUUUCUCUCCUUUCUCCUUUUCUUCAUCCCUCCUGUCAUCUUGUGUUUCUUCCACACGUUGUCUCUCAACACUUCAACCAUUCUAUGCAGAAUACUCCUAAAUUUGUAUUUCUGGGUUUGGCCCUCCUGAAGCUCUUACUCUGCGUUGUAAUGGCUGAUUAUCCUUCUAUUACCUCAAAUCAAAUCUCUUCAAAAACAGUAUCCCAUCUUAUCCUCCAUUUUUGCUCUUUAGCUGAGCUUCCAUUUUUCCGUCAGUGAAAUCUGGAUACUGGAUAAUGGCUUCAAGAGCUGUAUGACCAUCCCUAAUAGUAUUGCCGUGAUCCUUCCAAGUUCCUUGGUUUAUUCGGGUCUCGAUUCCAUCUUCUUCUCUCUCUUUCUCCUCCUCUUACUCUCUCUCACACAUAAAAUUCACCAUCAUGCCAUCUAGCCAUAACGAAUAGUAGGAGCAUUCAUAUUCUCUCAGUCAUCCAAGAUUAAACUCGAGUUUUCUUGGACUUUUCUUUCUAUCUUGAUCCUCACAGCCAAUUAGAUUUCCAUACUUGCCUCAGCAGUACACUUUUCUUACUCCCUCUGUAAGACCUGAUGCCCUGUUCAUUGACUAUCAGUGUAGAGUUUUAUAGGGACUCACUCUAAGUUCUCUUUCCAUCUCUUCCAGUAUAUAACACAUGCUGGGGCCAAAUUAGACUUCCUGAACCAGAACUACACAGUAUCACUCCUUGGCAAUAAUACUGUCUGUGAGACCCUCAUUCCCUAAUGAACCAUUAAUUUUUCUGCAUCCUCUGUAAUGCCUUCCAACCUGAGUCUGUAGCCUACUACUCAACUGCCAGAGCUCUAUCCUCCACCUGUUAGGGUCCAAAACAGGCACAGAGCUCAUAGCAUUGCUUUUAUUCAGAAGUCCUGCCAUCCACUCUCGUGCUUAUCAAAAUCAUAUUCAUCUUUCUCAAAUGGGAACCUUCUUUAUGAAACCUUUCAGUUCCCUGUGGCGAGAUGUGCUCUGUUUUUCAGCCCCUGCUGUCCUCUGCCAGGAUCCAUACAACCCGGUUCUCUGCAUACCAUUUAUUAUAUUCCAGCCUGCUGGUCUUCUUUGGGUUCCUUUAAUAUGCCAAGCUCUUUCCUCUUUUAGGAUUAUCACAUUAGCUGCUUAGUGUACCUAGAAUGCUUUCCCUUUUCAUUAGAAUGUGUUGCUUCCAUAAUUGACAGCUCCUAUGAAAAUUUUUCUUUUCCCACCUUUUUAAAACAGAGUUUUAGAACCUCCUUGUAUGGCAAAGGGUUCUUUAUCACAUUAGUCUAUUGUCUUUUCCCCAACUGACUGACAACUCCAUGAGGAUAGAACAGAGCCCACAUCUGUUGUUUUAACCAGUGUUUUUACAACAGUUAUUGGAUAAGUGAAUGAAUGAAUGAAUGAAUGAGCAUUUUGUUUAUAAAAUUUCUUAUGUUCUACUCUGUAUAAUACUUUCGAAUAUGCCUGUCUUACCAUUUUUUAAGAUUUUAGUCCUUUGAAGUAAAAAGAAAAAACUUUGUAUUGUUUAUCUUGGUAUCCACUAGCCCCUAGUAUGGUGCCAAACAUUUAUGAGAUUAAUAAAUGUUUGCAGAAUUAAAUCAAUUUGGAUUAAACCUUCAGAACAAUAUUAAGUUAUUGCCAGGACAUCACAGAUGGUAAAUGGCAAUCUCCUUUGUUAAUAGCUUCCAAGGUUGAUGAUGAGAUAAAAUCAGUCAAGCAUCUAUCAAUAUGGGAAAAGCUCCUAAAUACGAAAUCCUCUGUUUUAAAGUCAUUGUUGCCUCAUUUGUCAUAUUAAAAUCCUGUGUUUCAUGUGCCCAUUCUUCCUUAAAGCAUCAAGUUUAUUUUUUAUGUGUCAUUGUAAAGAAGAUAGGCAUAGGGUAAUGAAAGGAAGGAGAAAGACCGUUAAGAAUAGGCUGUGUAUUUUUGGUAAUGUUUUCCUUGACCAAAGACUACGUGUCCAUGUGGUUUUUGCUCACUUCUCCUUACUUAAUCCCCUGACUUCAAUUUCUCAACCUACCUCUAAUGAGACACUGUGCGUUACAUUCAAGGCGAGUAACAAGGAGGCUGUAAAAACCUUGUGCAUUUCAAGGCCAUGUUGAGAAAGCUCCCCCAGUGUUCUGCAGGUGUUAAUUAUGACAGAAGCUAUCACAAAGGUGGCGAAUGUGGAGGAGGGGCUUGCUCCUCUGGUCUCCAUGCCUUGUAGUGCCCUCUAGUGCCUGUAAGGGAGAAAUAGGGAACCAAACAGCAGGUUGCCCUGGUUAUUGGAGAUGCUGUCUAUUAACCAAUAUACUUGAGUGGAAUGAGACAAUGGCAGACCCCAACAGAAGCAUUUUUAGUGUGCAGAAAUCUGUAUAAAUUCUAAACUAUUGUAUGCCCAUGAAGAUUAUGCCUGCUCUUUUUUGGUUCUUUUUUUAUUAAAGUUUAGUUGACGCACAAUGUUACAUUAAAGGUUGUACAAUGUAAUGAUUCCACUCCUCUAGAGGCUAUGCUAUGCUUAUCACAGGUGUAGCUACCUUCUGUCAGUAUGUAAUGCUAUUAUAAUACCAUUGACUAUAUUCCUUACGCUGUGCCUUUCAUGCUCAUACCUUAUUCAUCCAUAACUGGAAACUUGUUCCUCCCACUCCCCUUCACCCAUGUUGUCCAUCCCCAAACUCCUUCCCUUCUAGCAACCACCAGUUCUCUGUAUGGAUUUAUUUGUUUGUUUUAUCUUUUAGAUUACACAUAUAAGUGAAAUCAUA